rnacentral:rRNA from 1 species
AUUGAACGCUGGCGGCAGGCCUAACACAUGCAAGUCGAGCGAGCGGCGGACGGGUGAGUAAUGUCUGGGAAACUGCCUGAUGGAGGGGGAUAACUACUGGAAACGGUAGCUAAUACCGCAUACCAUCAGAUGUGCCCAGAUGGGCUUAGCUAGUAGGUGGGGUAACGGCUCACCUAGGCGACGAUCCCUAGCUGGUCUGAGAGGAUGACCAGAAACACUGGAACGGAGACACGGUCCAGACGCGUACGGGAGGCAGCAGUGGGGAAUAGUGCAUAAUGGGCGGAGGCCUGAUGCAGCCAUGCCGCGUGUGUGAAGAAGGCCUUCGGGUUGUAAAGCAAUUUCAGCGGGGAGGCGUUACCCGAAGAAGAAGCACCGGCUAACUCCGUGCCAGCAGCCGCGGUAAUAC